rnacentral:rRNA from 1 species
UGCAGUCGAACGAAGUCUUCGGACUUAGUGGCGGACGGGUGAGUAACACGUGGGAACGUGCCUUUAGGUUCGGAAUAACUCAGGGAAACUUGUGCUAAUACCGAAUGUGCCCUUCGGGGGAAAGAUUUAUCGCCUUUAGAGCGGCCCGCGUCUGAUUAGCUAGUUGGUGAGGUAAAGGCUCACCAAGGCGACGAUCAGUAGCUGGUCUGAGAGGAUGAUCAGCCACAUUGGGACUGAGACACGGCCCAAACUCCUACGGGAGGCAGCAGUGGGGAAUCUUGCGCAAUGGGCGAAAGCCUGACGCAGCCAUGCCGCGUGAAUGAUGAAGGUCUUAGGAUUGUAAAAUUCUUUCACCGGGGACGAUAAUGACGGUACCCGGAGAAGAAGCCCCGGCUAACUUCGUGCCAGCAGCCGCGGUAAUACGAAGGGGGCUAGCGUUGCUCGGAAUUACUGGGCGUAAAGGGAGCGUAGGCGGACAUUUAAGUCAGGGGUGAAAUCCCGGGGCUCAACCUCGGAAUUGCCUUUGAUACUGGGUGUCUUGAGUGUGAGAGAGGUAUGUGGAACUCCGAGUGUAGAGGUGAAAUUCGUAGAUAUUCGGAAGAACACCAGUGGCGAAGGCGACAUACUGGCUCAUUACUGACGCUGAGGCUCGAAAGCGUGGGGAGCAAACAGGAUUAGAUACCCUGGUAGUCCACGCCGUAAACGAUGAUUGCUAGUUGUCGGGAUGCAUGCAUUUCGGUGACGCAGCUAACGCAUUAAGCAAUCCGCCUGGGGAGUACGGUCGCAAGAU